UACGUACGAGGCGAGCGUUAUCCGGAAUUACUGGGCGUAAAGCGCGCGCAGGCGGGCUCGUAAGUCGGGCGUGAAAUCUCCCGGCCCAACUGGGAGGGGUCGUCCGAGACUGGGAGCCUUGAGGACGGCAGAGGUUGGUGGAAUUCCUGGUGUAGUGGUGAAAUGCGUAGAGAUCAGGAGGAACACCGGUGGCGAAGGCGGCCAACUGGGCCGUCGCUGACGCUGAGGCGCGAAAGCUCGGGGAGCGAACGGG
rnacentral:rRNA from 1 species